rnacentral:lncRNA from 1 species
AUAGGACACUAUUAGACACUUAUUAACUUCAUAAAUAGGCAGAUAUGAAUUGAACCAACAAAAAAGGAGCACAAAACAGUGAUGAAUAUAGCAUAUAGUGAAGGGUUCAACUGGACCCCAUAAAUGUAUAUACACUAAGUGUUAAACAUUAUUUCUAAUGUGCAAUGGUUUCAACGUUAAAAAAAACAAAGGUUGAACUUGUUAAAUCCUGGAGCAAAAUGUUUUAACGUCCCUAUUAUCCAGAGUAAAAAAAGGGAACCCCUCUUCAUUGCGUAGUGGGAAAAAAAUGCAGGGAAUCAACCGGCUAGUUUCAGACCAUAACAUCAAACUUUUCCGAGCUAAUUCAAGCAAAAAUGGAAAAGUACUAAAUUCUGAAAUUCAGAUAAGAUACCAUAUAAUAAGACAUCAAAAUCCAUUAAAAG